rnacentral:rRNA from 1 species
AGGACGAACGCUGGCGGCGUGCUUAACACAUGCAAGUCGAGCGGUAAGGCCUUUCGGGGUACGACGAGCGGCGAACGGGUGAGUAACACGUGGGUGAUCUGCCCUGCACUUCGGGAUAAGCCUGGGAAACUGGGUCUAAUACCGGAUAUGACCUCAGGUUGCAUGACUUGGGGGUGGAAAGAUUUAUCGGUGCAGGAUGGGCCCGCGGCCUAUCAGCUUGUUGGUGGGGUAAUGGCCUACCAAGGCGACGACGGGUGGCCGACCUGAGAGGGUGACCGGCCACACUGGGACUGAGACACGGCCCAGACUCCUACGGGAGGCAGCAGUGGGGAAUAUUGCACAAU